AGCCACGGGUAUUUCGGCUAAUGUUCCGAGCGAAAGGGGAAAGCCCGGGCUUUAAAAAUCCUGGAUUAUUAUUAUUUGUUGUUUUUUCUUCCCACCCGCCCCCCCUUCCUUCCUCUGUGUCUCUUUGAAAGCACACAAACAUUGGAACCGUGGGUGUCUCUCUCUCUCCUCUCCCCCCCCUUUCCCUCUCCCUUCUUUUCUUGUUUGGAGGCCUUUUUAAAAAGUCCCCACCGUGUUGACACGGAUGACAGUGAAGAUCUCUUGCUUCCUCCUCACCCCCAAGAUUCGAAACCUUCCGGACUUCCAGGAGGAUCUUCACAAGUAACUGCCACUAUUGUUGACAAACAUACCUUCUGCUUUUAAUCUGUCCUAAUUGUUUUUUUUAAAAAAAGAUUAAAGCUUCUUAUCGCCCUAAA